GACGAACGCUGGCGGCGUGCUUAACACAUGCAAGUCGAACGGAAAGGCCCUGCUUUUGUGGGGUGCUCGAGUGGCGAACGGGUGAGUAACACGUGAGUAACCUGCCCUUGACUUUGGGAUAACUUCAGGAAACUGGGGCUAAUACCGGAUAGGAGCUCCUGCUGCAUGGUGGGGGUUGGAAAGUUUCGGCGGUUGGGGAUGGACUCGCGGCUUAUCAGCUUGUUGGUGGGGUAGUGGCUUACCAAGGCUUUGACGGGUAGCCGGCCGGAGAGGGUGACCGGCCACAUUGGGACUGAGAUGCGGCCCGGACUCCUCCGGGAGGCAGCGGUGGGGAUUAUUGCACAAUGGGCGGAGGCCUGAUGCAGCAACGCCGCGUGCGGGAUGACGGCCUUCGGGUUGUAAACCGCUUUCGCCUGUGACGAGGCGUGAGUGACGGUAAUGGGUAAAGAAGCACCGGCUAACUACGUG
rnacentral:rRNA from 1 species